rnacentral:rRNA from 1 species
GAAUGCUGACAUAAGUAACGAUAAAGCGGGUGAAAAGCCCGCUCGCCGGAAGACCAAGGGUUCCUGUCCAACGUUAAUCGGGGCAGGGUGAGUCGACCCCUAAGGCGAGGCCGAAAGGCGUAGUCGAUGGGAAACAGGUUAAUAUUCCUGUACUUGGUGUUACUGCGAAGGGGGGACGGAGAAGGCUAUGUUGGCCGGGCGACGGUUGUCCCGGUUUAAGCGUGUAGGCUGAUUUUCCAGGCAAAUCCGGAAAAUCAAGGCUGAGGCGUGAUGACGAGGCACUACGGUGCUGAAGCAACAAAUGCCCUGCUUCCAGGAAAAGCCUCUAAGCAUCAGGUAACAUCAAAUCGUACCCCAAACCGACACAGGUGGUCAGGUAGAGAAUACCAAGGCGCUUGAGAGAACUCGGGUGAAGGAACUAGGCAAAAUGGUGCCGUAACUUCGGGAGAAGGCACGCUGAUAUGUAGGUGAAGCGACUUGCUCGUGGAGCUGAAAUCAGUCGAAGAUACCAGCUGGCUGCAACUGUUUAUUAAAAACACAGCACUGUGCAAACACGAAAGUGGACGUAUACGGUGUGACGCCUGCCCGGUGCCGGAAGGUUAAUUGAUGGGGUUAGCGGUAACGCGAAGCUCUUGAUCGAAGCCCCGGUAAACGGCGGCCGUAACUAUAACGGUCCUAAGGUAGCGAAAUUCCUUGUCGGGUAAGUUCCGACCUGCACGAAUGGCGUAAUGAUGGCCAGGCUGUCUCCACCCGAGACUCAGUGAAAUUGAACUCGCUGUGAAGAUGCAGUGUACCCGCGGCAAGACGGAAAGACCCCGUGAACCUUUACUAUAGCUUGACACUGAACAUUGAGCCUUGAUGUGUAGGAUAGGUGGGAGGCUUUGAAGUGUGGACGCCAGUCUGCAUGGAGCCGACCUUGAAAUACCACCCUUUAAUGUUUGAUGUUCUAACGUUGGCCCGUUAUCCGGGUUGCGGACAGUGUCUGGUGGGUAGUUUGACUGGGGCGGUCUCCUCCUAAAGAGUAACGGAGGAGCACGAAGGUUGGCUAAUCCUGGUCGGACAUCAGGAGGUUAGUGCAAUGGCAUAAGCCAGCUUGACUGCGAGCGUGACGGCGCGAGCAGGUGCGAAAGCAGGUCAUAGUGAUCCGGUGGUUCUGAAUGGAAGGGCCAUCGCUCAACGGAUAAAAGGUACUCCGGGGAUAACAGGCUGAUACCGCCCAAGAGUUCAUAUCGACGGCGGUGUUUGGCACCUCGAUGUCGGCUCAUCACAUCCUGGGGCUGAAGUAGGUCCCAAGGGUAUGGCUGUUCGCCAUUUAAAGUGGUACGCGAGCUGGGUUUAGAACGUCGUGAGACAGUUCGGUCCCUAUCUGCCGUGGGCGCUGGAGAACUGAGGGGGGCUGCUCCUAGUACGAGAGGACCGGAGUGGACGCAUCACUGGUGUUCGGGUUGUCAUGCCAAUGGCACUGCCCGGUAGCUAAAUGCGGAAGAGAUAAGUGCUGAAAGCAUCUAAGCACGAAACUUGCCCCGAGAUGAGUUCUCCCUGACUCCUUGAGAGUCCUGAAGGAACGU